rnacentral:rRNA from 1 species
AUACGGGGCUUAUGUCUUGUAAUUGGAUGAUGGGAAUUUAAACCUCUUCCAGAGAAACAAUUGGAGGGCAAGUCUGGUGCCAGCAGCCGCGGUAAUUCCAGCUCCAAUAGCGUAUAUUAAAAUUGUUGCAGUUAAAAAGCUCGUAGUUGAAUUUCUGCUGCAUUGCAUUUUCUCCUAUACGAGUUUUUGCAUUGUGGCUUAUUUCGGUUAUAAAAUUUAUUUUUAUUUCCGGAUGUUUACUUUGAGAAAAUUAGAGUGCUCAAAGCAGGCUUUUGCCUUGAAUAGUUUAGCAUGGAAUAAUAAAGUAGGACUUUGGUUCUAUUUUGUUGGUUUUAGGUACCAAAGUAAUGGUUAAUAGGAACAGUUGG